CUGAUCCUUGUAUCCCAAGUAUUCUGUACAUGGCCUCAGUAUCCUGGUUGUCUUGUACUGGGCUUAGUACACCGUAUGUCCUGUACCUGUUUUUGCUAUAUUGAGUGCCCUGAACCUGAUCCUAGUAUCUUGUGUGUCCUGUACCUGUUUGUACUAUCCAGAGUGCCUGGAAAUGAGUCCUAGUAUCCUGAGUGUCCUCUACCUGUUCCUACUAUAUUGAGUGCCCUCUACUUGGUCCUAGUAUCCUGAGCGUUCUGUAUCUUUACGCUUGAUCCUUAGUGCCUGAACCUAGUCCUAGUAUCCCAAAUGUCCUGUUACCUGUAUUUGUUCCUACUCUAUCCUGAGUGUCCUGACCUGUUCCUG